UACGGAGGGUGCAAGCGUUAAUCGGAAUUACUGGGCGUAAAGCGCACGCAGGUGGCUGAGUCAGUCGAUUGUGAAAGCCCUGGGCUUAACCUGGGAAUUGCAGUCGAUACUACUCAGCUAGAGUAUGGGAGAGGGCAGUGGAAUUCCCGGUGUAGCGGUGAAAUGCGUAGAUAUCGGGAGGAACAUCAAUGGCGAAAGCAGCUUUCUGGGACGGUACUGACGCUGAGACGCGAAAGCGUGGGGAGCGAACAGG
rnacentral:rRNA from 1 species